ACGACAGUUUUCCGGCCUAGUUUGCGGCUGCUCCUGCCGUGUUGCGUAGGGCGCCUGUGCUUGAGGUUGGGGGUUGCGUCGCUCUCUGGUAAAGGCGUGCAGGUGUUGGCCGCGGCCUCUGAGCUGGGAUGAGCCGUGCUCCCGGUGGAAGCAAGGGAGCCCAGCCGGAGCCAUGCCCUACUGCCAAUAAAGGGAAAAUAAGAGAUGCUCAUCGACGAAUUAUGCUUUUAAAUCAUCCUGACAAAGGAGGAUCUCCUUAUAUAGCAGCCAAAAUCAAUGAAGCUAAAGAUUUACUAGAAGGUCAAGCUAAAAAAUGAAGUAAAUGUAUGAUGAAUUUUAAGUUCGUAUUAGUUUAUGUAUAUGAGUACUAAGUUUUUAUAAUAAAAUGCCUCAGAGCUACAAUUUUAAAAAAUGAUUUAGCACAAGCUAAAUCUCAAAGCCUUGGUAUAAUUUUCUUGUUUAAAUUUGGGGAUUUUAAAUCAGAUUAUAGUUUAGAAUAUUUGCGUAUUAAUUAUGGGCAAGCACACACCUUCUGAAUAGAAAUAUUGUUCAUUACUCAUUUAGCAGAUAAUUUGGGACCUAUGUCUACUUUUCAAGGCAAAGUGAAGAUGACAGUCCUUGCUCUCAGGGAGCCCCCACUUUAAUGGGAGACUGAUAAACUGGUAAUUAGACUGUGAUAAAUAGUAUGAUGGAAAUUAGCUUAAGCUGUUUAAGUAGGGACUCUUCUUAUUCGGUGGAAAGGCUGUUCCAGGUACAGGCAACUGGCCUGGCAACUUGGAUACUUGGAACCUUGUAUUUAAAAGUGAAUUUAACCACAACUGAGACCUAAGAAAUUGACCUAGGGGUGUGUGUGUGUGUGUAUUCUAUGUACAUAUAAACCAUUUUUAUUUCAUGCAUUAAAAAUAGUAUGAUAAAGAUUUCAGAGUACAGGUCUGGUACAAUCACAGUUCAUUGCAGCCUCAACCUCCUGGGUUUAAGCAGUCCUCCCGCCUCAGCCUCCCAAAGUACUGGGAUUACAGGCAUGAGUAUUUACAUUGUAUUCAGCUAGCCCCUUAAAGGUAAUGACCAUUUAUAAAUUAUUCCUUCAGUUGGCUAUUUCUUGACAUAAUCAAACUUCUGCAAUUGUUAUGAUUAAGCUUAAACCCUGUUAGCAAAACUGAAAACUGAAAUGUUCUCAAUAUCAACAUAUUUAAUUUGGACUCUUUAGAAUUUAUACACUAAUAAAUUUAAAUGAUGUUUAAAGGCAA
rnacentral:lncRNA from 1 species